GACGAACCGAGCGAACGUUGUUCGGAAUCACUGGGCUUAAAGGGCGCGUAGGCGGGCCAUCAAGUCGAGGGUGAAGCCCCCAGCUCAACUGGGGAAGUGCCUCCGAUACUGGUGGUCUCGAGGGAGAUAGGGGCGUGCGGAACUUCCGGUGGAGCGGUGAAAUGCGUAGAUAUCGGAAGGAACACCGGUGGCGAAAGCGGCGCGCUGGAUCUCUUCUGACGCUGAGGCGCGAAAGCCAGGGGAGCGAACGGG
rnacentral:rRNA from 1 species